rfam:Oryza meridionalis cultivar OR44 (W2112) chromosome 2, whole genome shotgun sequence.
AAUAAGUACAGUUUUGCACUAUUCACGUUCAACGUUUGACCGUUCGUCUUAUUUGAAAAUUUUGUAUUAUUAGUAUUUUUAUUGCUAUUAGAUGAUAAAACAUGAAUAGUACUUUAUUUGUGACUAAAUAUUUUUAAAUUUUUCGCAAAUUUUUCAAAUAAGACGGACGGUCAAAUGUUGGGCACGGAUAUUUAUGGCUGCACUUAUU